UGGAUUAGCGGCGGACGGGUGAGUAACACGUGAGUAACCUGCCUUAGACAUUGGGAUAGCCUCGGGAAACCGGGAUUAAUACCAAAUAAAAUCAUAAUGACACAUGUCAUAACGAUCAAAACUCCGGUGGUCUAAGAUGGACUCGCGUCCCAUUAGCUAGUUGGUAGAGUAAAAGCCUACCAAGGCGACGAUGGGUAGCCGGCCUGAGAGGGUGGACGGCCACAUUGGAACUGAGAAACGGUCCAA
rnacentral:rRNA from 1 species